UAACAAAGUCAUGUUUUUGUA
rnacentral:piRNA from 1 species